CUUCUUCCUCCGACCAGCAGUCACAGUAAUUUGUCGUCAAGUUUGCCACAGGAGGAUAUUUUGUUCUGGGUUAACCUGCUUUUAUCCUUCGCAGGUUGUUUAUCCAUGUUUGUGUAAUUUUAAUUACUCCUAGAAUUUCCGCAUGUGUUAGCGAGAUUUAUUUGAAUUUGGUCUGUAAUAUUUUUAUCAUGUUGGACCUGUAAACUUAAAUAUGUUAUGUAUGUUUGAUGGAUUGGAUGAGGGAGCUGAGCUCCCAUUUAUUUUAUGUUGAUGAGUAUGUGGAGGGUGAGCUGAGCUCCCCAAUUGAGUA